GUCCGGCCCGGCCGCUGCACACCCAGGCAAGUCCUCCGCCUCCAGCCCGGCUCGGAUCGUCCACUCCACUGUUUGGCUCCGAGAGACCUUGAGACGCGCCUUGUGCACUCGGGGAUCGGCUGCAGCCAUAAAUCUCCGCGGGUCCCUCCUCACCACCGUUCACUCUCCGGUGUUCCGGGCCCACCUUGAGUCCCGGGCCGCCACGGGUGCCUUGUUCUGGUCACGGACGAGGAGAGGGGCACCCCGCAACUGCACGGGGAAUCAAGCCAGAGUGCUUCCCUAUCCGCCAGAGAGAGAGCACGGCCUCACCCAAUCGGUGCCACCGCCACCCAUCCCCACGAGUGUCGGACCCCGAAGUGGCUUGGGCCUCAAGGAUCACUGGGGUCUUUCCUAGAACUUCUAAAGGCACAUUCGGAGGGGCUGAGCAGGCGCGGGAGAGAAGUGAGCGCCAAGAGGCCAAGCUGCAGAACCACAUUCCGGCCCGAGCGGGUCCGCGGGGCCCCAGGAAGCGCCUCGGAAAACAAAGCCUUGUGGUCUCGGCCCAAGGUUAAAAUCCACCACGAGCUUUUUUUUUUUUUUCCCCUUUCCUUCUCCCUCUCCGGAAUCAGAGCGAUAGCGUUUCUACAAAUAAACCGCCAAUAAAUCAG